rnacentral:lncRNA from 1 species
UUAUAAUAUUGAUAGAGCCUCUAUUGAGAAGAAUUGUUUCUUCAUCACAUGAUAAUCUAACAGUUUAAAGUGGAGCUUUAUCUAAGAACCAGGGAAGCAGUAGAUUCAUUAGUCUAGCUUUUCUCAUCAACUCUUUGAAGCAAUGAUGAAUCUGAUAAAGUGAAGCCAAGUUUUCCCUGUUAGGUAGAUGGCUUCUUUGAAGUUAUAAUUUAUUGCUUCUUUUUCAUCCCCCUACUUAUUCUCUUGUUUGGACUUUCCAAUUGCUACUGCUUUGUUUUCCAUCACAUCACUCCUUCCUGUUCUCCAAAAUAUGGAAAUAAAAAAGUCAAUUAAAAGAACACCUUAUUCUUAAGAUAAAAAAUUGUUAUUAUUUGACAACUAAUUAAUGUUUUGCAGCCCUAAUAUUCUUAAGUCUAUAAGCUUAUAAAACAUUCUAAGUUCCUUGGAAGAUAGAGGCUAUAUAAAUUCAAUAAGUAUAAGGGAAUAUGGGAAAAAUAAAAGUAUCACUUUAUUUAAAAAUAAGACAAGUCUGUUUGUUUUAAAUACUGUUCUUACUAUUAAUGCAUUGUUGACUCUAGAAACCUGCAAGUAUCCAUUUUUAAAAUUUUAUUUUAGUUGGUAAUACUCUUUAUUACUGAACGUAAAAUUUUCAACAUAAAACACCCUUCAUUUAUCCUUUACAAGUUUCAUUUGAAGAAAGUUAGAAAAAAUACUUAGAAAUUCAAGGACUUGAUAUAUCCCUUAAUUUAGAAAGCUAUUCAACUAUCCCAUAAAUUUCUAUUUAAAGUAGCAAAAAUUUUAGGAUAAUACAGCUAUUUGGCCCUGAAUUAUAACUGCCCCCUUUGAUUGUAACCAUUCAGUUUGCAGCAUUCGUUUUUGUAAUAGCAGUUUGGCUGCUAUGGGUGUGAUUCAAUGGUAACCUACAAGGCAAAUUUGUACAGGAGCUGACAGAUUUUUCUAACAAAAUAAGGAGACUUUGAAGCACAUUGAAUAGGAGUUUUUAAAUGAAUAGGAUUUUUUAAAGGAAAAAGAGUAGGAGCUUGGGGGGGAAGGCUGGUUGAAAUAAAUGAGCAAAUCACAAAUAAUAAAUCCUUUAGAAAUACCUUGAUUGGCAGUAAGUGUGGAUUAUGCUCAUCUCAGUAUUUAAUUAGAAAUAACUUACCUUUGUCUUUUGUCUUUUUAAUUAAAGUGGCUGUAAAAAAGAAGGUCCAGAUGAACUGAGAUUGUUUGCUUAGGAAUUCUGUUUUACUCUUUUCCUUUUACCUGAUGUUCUAAAACAGGGCUUACCUUGUUGAGGACCUUAGAGGCUUUGCAAUUCUAGAUUGUGAUUCUUUCAUAUCAUUUUAGUUUUUCUCCCAAGACUACACUAAAGGAGACAUCACGAGAUUUGCAAGGUUAAAAACAAUUCUGCACGUGCUUCCUCCUGCUCCCAAAUCCGGUCAUCCACCUUUCAGAGCAGCACCGUAAAGUGAAGACAGACAUUUAUUAGAUGAAAUUCUGGUUUCACUUUUACACUUGUGCAAGCAUUUUUAACAGUAAAGGAGAGGAAAGGGAGGAAUUUAUAUUUCUAGAUAAUAUAUGAAAAUUACCUUGAUAUUGUAUUUUUAAGAUCUUUCACCAAUACUGCAGUGCUGCACUAGAAAUAAUUAGUUUAAGAAAAUACAUUCAACAUUGUCCAGGUGAUCCUGUCACCUUUUAGAUGACGAAAAACAUCUUGAGGAUGUUUUGUACAGUUAUUUUCCCAUUGUUACUCUUAGAGACUUUUGUUUCAAAAAGGCAGGCUCAUUUUAUUUUGUUUUAUCUUAGAACAUUUUAGCAGCUCUUUGUCAUGGGUUAAAAAAAUCUAGAAUUAAAAAAAUGUUUAAUAUAUGAUUUAUAUAAUUUUGACAAGAAUACAAAUUCUUAGUCGUUCAAAAUUGGAAGCGCUCUUAGAAGUGUCAAGCUCAGCUUUCCAUUCCACAAAUGAAGUAACUGGUAACUGUGACUUAUUAUGUUAUACAGUGACAGUUAUUAUGUUAUACAGUGUCAGUUAUACAGUGACAACCAGGACAAAAUCCUAGGGUUCUAGAUUCCCCUUCUGGUGCUCUUUUUACCAGAUGAUGGCAUUACUAAUUGCCUACCUUGAGGCCUUUGAAAUCACCAUGUCUGAUAAAAACAUGCAAUUGCUUUGGUGAAUUUGUUUGUUUUAUUGUUGUUGCUUUGAGUGAAUGCUUCAGUUUGCUCUAGAUUUUACUUUGUUAAAAAUUACCAUGUUUUAACCCCCGAAAACAUUUAAUGUUUUUGAAAUGAUUUUUUCAUAACAAUCUUAUGAGUCUAUUAUAUAAUAGGAAGUAUUUUGGAAAUUUAAUGGUGAUAUUUCUUUGGAAAAGAAAAAUAAAAACUCUGGAAUGCAGUGCUGGUUUGUAUAAUUC